rnacentral:rRNA from 1 species
UACGUAGGGUGCGAGCGUUGUCCGGAAUUAUUGGGCGUAAAGAGCUCGUAGGCGGUGUGUCACGUCGGCCGUGAAAACCUGGGGCUUAACUCUGGGCGUGCGGUCGAUACGGGCAUCACUAGAGUUCGGCAGGGGAGACUGGAAUUCCUGGUGUGAGCGGUGAAAUGCGCAGAUAUCAGGAGGAACACCGGUGGCGAAGGCGGGUCUCUGGGCCGAUGAACUGACGCUGGAGGAGCGAAAGCAUGGGUAGCGAACAGG